GUGGGGAAUAUUGGACAAUGGGCGAAAGCCUGAUCCAGCCAUGCCGCGUGUGUGAAGAAGGUCAUCGGAUUGUAAAGCACUUUAAGUUGGGAGGAAGGGCAGUAAGUUAAUACCUUGCUGUUUUGACGUUACCGACAGAAUAAGCACCGGCUAACUUCGUGCCAGCAGCCGCGGUAAUACGAAGGGUGCAAGCGUUAAUCGGAAUUACUGGGCGUAAAGCGCGCGUAGGUGGUUUUGUAAGUUGGAGGUGAAAUCCCCGGGCUCAACCUGGGAACUGCCUCCAAAACUGCAUGACUAGAGUACGGUAGAGGGUAGUGGAAUUUCCUGUGUAGCGGUGAAAUGCGUAGAUAUAGGAAGGAACACCAGUGGCGAAGGCGACUACCUGGACUGAUACUGACACUGAGGUGCGAAAGCGUGGGGAGCAAACAGGAUUAGAAACCCCGGUAGUCC
rnacentral:rRNA from 1 species